rnacentral:rRNA from 1 species
UACGGAGAGGGCUAGCGUUGUUCGGAAUUACUGGGCGUAAAGGGCGCGUAGGCGGCCUUCUAAGUCGAACGUGAAAUCCCCGGGCUCAACCCGGGAACUGCGUCCGAUACUGGAAGGCUUGAAUCCGGGAGAGGGAUGCGGAAUUCCAAGUGUAGCGGUGAAAUGCGUAGAUAUCUGGAGGAACACCGGUGGCGAAGGCGGCAUCCUGGACCGGUAUUGACGCUGAGGCGCGAAAGCCAGGGGAGCAAACGGG